AGGGGAAUUUCUUGCUGCUUUUUGCAACUCCCAAUCUUGUUGUACGGAGGUGAAGCACGGGACAGAUUGGUAUCCUCUAAACACACACAUACCUGAUCCAAAGUUCUCUAAAUCUUUGAACUGAAAAUACACCACCAUGCAGAUUAUUUGGAUUCUAACCUGAAGCCCUGGACAGGUAUCUCCAUAUAUAAUUUAGGACUCUUGCUCUGCUACAAAGCCCUAGCUAUGCUUGGCACAGCAGCAGUUUGAUCCGCCCUGUUGAUGUUGACUGAACACUGCUCCUUUAAAAAGCCUAUGAUGUCAUCAUGGGUAAUGCACGUGAACCAGGAAGUGUGCAGCUCAGAUACUGGCUGCAGCCAGCAACGCGACAGCAGCAAGUUGCAUCCCUGUAAGACGGUCUAUUGACUUUGCAGGCGUAUUUCAGUGUUAAGUUUCCAUUGGGUUAUUAGUAACAAAGCUUUAUAGAUGGAUUCCCGCAAAGAAGCCCAGCCGAAAGGAGACUUUGAAUGCCAACUAUGUGGGCUAACAGCCCCAUACAGCUAUUAUGGGCAGAAACCCCCAAACACUCAUUCUGUU